GAUGAACGCUCGCUACAGGCUUAACACAUGCAAGUCGAGGGGAAACGACAUCGAAAGCUUGCUUUUGAUGGGCGUCGACCGGCGCACGGGUGAGUAACGCGUAUCCAACCUGCCCACCACUUGGGGAUAACCUUGCGAAAGUAAGACUAAUACCCAAUGAUAUCUCUAGAAGACAUCUGAAAGAGAUUAAAGAUUUAUCGGUGAUGGAUGGGGAUGCGUCUGAUUAGCUUGUUGGCGGGGUAACGGCCCACCAAGGCAACGAUCAGUAGGGGUUCUGAGAGGAAGGUCCCCCACAUUGGAACUGAGACACGGUCCAAACUCCUACGGGAGGCAGCAGUGAGGAAGAUUGGUCAAUGGACGAGAGUCUGAACCAGCCAAGUAGCGUGCAGGAAGACGGCCCUAUGGGUUGUAAACUGCUUUUAUAAGGGAAUAAAGUGAGUCUCGUGAGACUUUUUGCAUGUACCUGAUGAAUAAGGACCGGCUAAUUCCGUG
rnacentral:rRNA from 1 species